CCCUGUAUAGCUUGACUCUAGCCUGGCUUUGUGAAAUGACUUAUGAGGUGUAUAAUAAGAGGUAGGCUUGCCAACAAUGAAAUACCACUACUCGUAAUGAUUGUUUUACUUAUUCCGUCACGCAUAGGUCGGGCACUCGCCAUAGCGUAGCGUUUUUGGCGUUAAGCCGGUUUACCAAGGGAUCUACGCCCAAUACUUCAUCUAGUGGGGAGUUUGGCUGGGGCGGCACAUCUGUUAAACAGUAACCCUGGUGUACUCAUAUGAGCUCAAUGAGGACAGAAACCUCAUGUAGAGCAAAAGGGCAAAAGCUCCUUUGAUUUUGGUUUUCCGCUCAAAUACUCAAACCGAGAAAGCGUGGUCUAUCGAUCCUUCAGAUUAUAAGAGUAUGUAAUCUAAACGUGGCCGAAAAGGUACCAUAGGGAUUAACUGGCUUGUGAAAAGCCAAGCCGAUCAUCGAGAACGAUGCUUUUUUGAUCCUUCCGAU
rnacentral:rRNA from 1 species